GACGAAGGUGGCUAGCGUUAUUCGGAUUUACUGGGCAUAAAGCGCGCGUAGGCGGCUUGGCAAGUCGGAGGUGAAAGCCUGCAGCUCAACUGCGGUGUGCCUCCGAAACUGCCGAGCUUGAGUGCGGGAGGGGUGAUUGGAACUCCAGGUGUAGCGGUGAAAUGCGUAGAUAUCUGGAGGAACACCAGAGGCGAAGGCGAAUCACUGGACCGCAACUGACGCUGAGGCGCGAAAGCUAGGGGAGCAAACAGGAUUAGAUACCCUGGUAGUCCUAGCUGUAAACGAUGGGCACUAGGCAGUGGAGAUCCGAUGUCGUCACUGUCGAAACAAAUGCGAUAAGUGCCCCGCCUGGGGAGUACGGCCGCAAGGCUGAA
rnacentral:rRNA from 1 species